AGAGAGUAGAAUUUCAGUAAAUGCUAUCUAGAAGAUGAUCUUGCCCCAGAUGUGAACCACCAAACUGUGCCUGCUGCCUUCAUGACUUCUCACUGGGGCCAUGAUUUCCAUAUGCCAGGCACCAGCUGUGCCAGCAGCUCUGAGAUUUGAGGCAGGACAGAGAGAAAUUGCUAUUUUACCCUCAUUUUGGCCCAAACAAACUGCUGCUGUUGGGUUUCUGAGGCCCUAGAGUUUGCCUGCUUAGAGUUUAUUCUCUUCAAGUGUCUCCCAGCAGCCACCAAGAGAUAGAAAAUGAGCCCUUUGUAGGAGUUAUGGAGAUUUCCUUGGUAAGAAAUCUGAGUGUGCCAUGCAGUGACAACUCUCCAGUAGAUCGGAAUCAAAAAGGAAAACUACAACUGAUUUUUUUUUCAAGACAACUGGGAUUUUUUCAAUAUAGAAGGCCGAUUAAUAACAUGGCAGUGCCUCGACUAGUUACACCCUGAUUCUCAAAGCAGGUGACUCCCAAACUAGGCUCUCAUGCUUGGCCUCAGCCACAAAUCCCGUGUGCUGUCAUCAGACUUUCUUCCCUUGGCCAGGCUUUAAAUUGUCUGGGCUCAGAGUGAGAGCCAUGGAUCGGUCACCUCAUCCACCAGCGCUUUGCAUGGAGAACGAAGAGGUAAGUGUUUCCCAGUGCUAAUUAGAUAACACCCACGUAUCUUCACCAAUUAAUUCUAACCAGGACAUGGAUAGGCUCUUUGGAAGGUUUGAUGUCCACCAAACUUGAUCUGACUUCUCUGAUCUUAAAACCCUUCUUAACACGGUGUAAACCCCAUGCUUUCAGCCACAGUUUCCAAAAUGCAGUGGAUCUGGCUUGGGUUUUGGGUUUUGAGAAGACACGGUCCUAUUUACAGAGUGGGACCAUCAUGGUUGUGGUUUCCCCUGCCCAGCCAGCAGGAAGCAGGCACUCCCCUGCCUCAUCUGGGUGCACGUAGCAGGAGGAUAAAAAGCAAUCGCAACCGCUUGUGUUUUCUAGGAAUGCUGUCUAUCCUGGGAAAGAGCAUGUCCUAGUGCCAAAAAACCAUUGUCAUGCCAAAAUGAAAAACGAACACUGGAGGAGCAGAAAUGAGACAAGUUUCUGCAAAGUCUCACCAAACACUUCCCCCAUUGUGUGAUGUGCCUGAAACCCUCCACCCAUGUCAGAGCUGUGGUGUUUGCAACUUGGUGUAGUUCAGCUCCAUGUGCAACCUGAUGGGUCUGAGUUUAGAACCAAGGAAGCAGGCCUGUGAAGAAGCAGCAAAAAGUGCCAUAUACAAAACACCAGGUUGGCCGAGCCCUGCCUCCUUGUGAGGCACGGUACAUUUCCACAGCCUAGAUGGCCCUAACAGGCAGGGCUGACAUGGGCAGAUAUGACAACAGAAAACUGGAGAGGGUAAAGUCCAACAGAAAACUGGGAGCUGCACAUACAUAGAAAUACAACAAUCAGAACCGGAUGCCUAACAGUGUGCCAUAAAAUGAACAGGAAUUUGGGUGCAGGCUGUCAUGCUGCGAUACAAUUGGUGAUAGUGCUGCCGAAAGAGGGCUGAGUUUGCUCUGAGCUUUGUUUUGCAUGAGUGCAUCCUCCCUCCUGUGAGGGCUGCAGAGCCCUUCCCAAAGUCCAGGAAGCACCAGGGUCUGGGAGGAAAUGGCAGCACAACUUCUGCAUGAAGAAUGUCAAGAUGUAGACAGGUCUCAGGUUGGAUGUUAGGAAACAUUUCUUCUCAGAAAGAGCAGUGAGGCACGGGCACAGCUGCUCAGGGAGGUGGGGCAGUCACCGUCCCUGGAGGUGUUCCAGAGCCAGGGAGAUGUGGCACUGAGGGACAUGGUCAGUGGGCACGGGAGGGUGGGCUGGGGUUGGACUUGGGGAUCCUAGAGGUCUUUUCCAACCUUAAUGAUUCUAUGAUUUCAUCAGUAUUUUUUUACUUUUUAUUCCCGGGGGAGAGAAACCCCUUUCCUUUGAGUGCUCUAUGGGUAGAGUUGACACUCAGGGAGAAACACAGUGGGACCAGUGGGCCACACACGGGACUUGGCAGGAAACUGCAAUUCUCCAGCCAAGUGAUUCCUAAUACCAAGCACGUCGGGGCAACAGACACCACUCACGAUGCUGGCUGAAAUAUCUUUUGAUCUCUUCAAGCAAGACAGGUCCCACUUGUCUGAGCGCUGUUUCGCUGUGUUUGCUGAAGGUGAGCAGGGAGAGUUCUGAGCAUUACGGAGCACAGUGCAGCAGUCGGAGCGGUAAGCAGGGCUAUUUCGCAACCAUCAGCUCUAUCAAUGGGUGCAUACUGGGCACCACGCACAGAAUGGCAGCGACAGGGUACAGUCAGAGCACCCCGUUACCACAUGCCUAUCCUCCUCUUUGCCUUGUUAAUACAUUCUUUGAAUGUUGCAUGGGAGCUGGGGGAGCACGCUGGGCAUGCAGCCAACCUGGUGUCCCCCAGUGAGAUACUCUAGAGCUCCCGCUAAGACACACUGAGCCAAAGCACAGCACUCGGGCAUGCAGAGCACGCUUUGAGGUGGGACACCUUCUGUUUAUUUGGAUUAAGCUGAAAAUAACACACCUCUAUGGAUCCGUGUUGACACAAUGAGGUUCUUUCAAAUUAAGAGGCUUGGAAUCCAAGAAGACACACACGGCAAAAUUAAUCUCUACCUGGAGCAGCCUGUAACUAACUAUAGGUUAUUAACCACUCACGCGGAUUAUCUGAGCCAUCUGAAGCAGACCUCCCCGCAAACCACUCAUGCAAAUUCAGCACCCGCAGCAUUGUCUUCCCUCUCCCCUUACCUUGAAGCACGCCCAUGGGUUUUCAUGCUGCCCUGCUGCCACGAGCUGGAAAGGAUCUCUUCUGCAAAUCAGCUCCCAAACUCCUUUUGUUUACGGCCUCCCACAGCUCUGAGUGUUGAGUUAUAUUGGAUGAUCCAACUACCGAGUGACUUCUGGUGUUACUAAUGACCACCGUGACCAGCAUUGAACAUGAAUUUGAGAGUCCACCGAGACUGCCUCAGGAGAGCAGGAGCUGCCCUGCAGGCAGGGGCCAUCUCCCCAUGUUGGGGAGCCCUGCAGGGCUGGGAGCAGGGCUGCCUCCACCACUUCUGCACAUGGCACGGAGCAGCUCCGGAGAAACUCAGGCAAGAACAGGCCUGAGAUGCCUCACACGGCUGCAAUUAUUCUAUAUUUGCUGCAUUCCUGCUGCCUGCCCUAGCAUCAGCUCCUUGCAUGAAGGGAUGUCCGCAGGAGCGCAAAGCAGGGGGGGUAAGAAGCAGCAGCAGGAGCAGGGCAGAGUCCGCAUCUCUGUGCGUCAGUGCCCGAUCCUAUUCCCCAACUUCCUCCAUACACACACCUACUGCUGUGACCUUCAGGCCCCACAGAAGCAGUAGGGGAAUUGCUGCUCAUGGGACGUAGAUGACAUUAUGUGCAAUUUGGACAAUAAAAUGCUGACGUACAUCCCCCCGUCUGGACUAAGGCAGUAAGCCGUUGGUUUGGGGCUUUUAUGGCUAAGUCACUCCUAUGCAGCUCACAACAUGAUCUCUUUCCCUCUUCACCCAUGGUACCACCUCUCCCACCAUUACCAGCAGCAGGUGCUCAGCCCUCUCAUCUUCCUCAUCUAAGCAGUUAAAUCUGCAGAGUGCCAAAAUAUACCGCAUUCCUUUUUAAAUUACAGCCUCUCCGGACCAGCCUCAAGCCUGGUGCUUAUCAAGAUUCAGAGAUUAGCGAGGCAUAGGGUUUCCUUCCUUGAGCCAACAGGCUGCUCUGUGUAGGGUUAUUCUCGGCACGGAGCAAGCUGCUGGCAACAGGGCACUAAUUCAUUGCCUUCUUUCUCCUGUUACGUUCAGCACAUCAGCUGUGUGGUGUCCCGUUCAGAAGCUGGCAGAGCCCACCAACCACAGAAAACCAUUUUUUUCCACUUUUACAACUGAUUCACUGCUCUCUCCUGGGCUGUUGUACAAGAGCCGUCUCACCCACUCAGGUUCGGCUAUGCAGAAAAUGUGUUGCCAAGGGGAAAUACCCAGCUUAGCUGGGGCUGGGUUGCUUUAAGAGCAGAGAACUGAAGGGCAGCCAGGCGGCACAGCGUUAGCUGGGGCAGGACCAUGCAGGAGCUGCUCCAUCCUCUGCUUCCAGCUCUGGCUGGGAUAGGAGAGAGCCAUACACUUCCAUGCUGUGCUGGGAGACCCCUACAGCACAGGCACUCCUUGUCCUUCCACUCCUUGUCCUUCCACUGUUUCACUCUGUCCUAGAAAAGUCUGGGACAAGAAAAUCCUACAAUGAUCCUAUAUUAAAAAUAUCCAUGCACAGA